rnacentral:rRNA from 1 species
UACGUAGGCAGCGAGCGUUGUUCGGAGUUACUGGGCGUAAAGGGUGUGUAGGCGGUUGUUUAAGUUUGGUGUGAAAUCUCCCGGCUCAACUGGGAGGGUGCGCCGAAUACUGAAUGACUUGGAGUGCGGGAGAGGAAAGCGGAAUUCCUGGUGUAGCGGUGAAAUGCGUAGAUAUCAGGAGGAACACCGGUGGUGUAGACGGCUUUCUGGACCGUAACUGACGCUGAGACACGAAAGCGUGGGGAGCAAACAGG